CGGUGACGGCGCGGAGCCGGCCAGUGCGGCUCAGAGCCAGAGGAGGGCUGCACGCGGCGCUGCCGGCAGCGCUCCGUGGCCCGUGUGGGUGUGUGGGACGGACGGGACGGGACGCACCCGCCGGCCGGGCGGUGAUGGGAGCUGACGUCACCGGCUGACGGUAGCGCGAGUGACGUCAUCGGGUGACCUGUGACCGAGCAGGCACCUAUGACCUGAGGUGACCCUUAACGGGCACCGGUGACCUAAAGUGACGUACAGUGGUGUUUGAUUACGAUUGGAGGCCUGCGGGCCGAUCAGAACAGGGACAUUCUGGAAACCGAUGCCAGAUGUGAGUUGGAUGCGGAGGGCGUGAGCCAGGCCACCGCCGCCGCCGUUGCCAUGGAAACGACGCCGGCCAACAACAACAACCUGGCCAACCAGGAGGAGCUGAAGCUGCUCGCCCGGCUGGAGGCGGCCAACA